rnacentral:tRNA from 1 species
GCCUAGCUGGCUCAGUAGGUAGGGCAUGCAACUCUUGAUCUCGGGGUUGUGAGUUCGAGCCCCAUGUUAGGCA